GGCGCUCGGAUUCUGGCUCAGAUUGAACGCUGGCGUGGAUGCUUUGCAUACUACGCAAGUCGAACGGCAGCACGGACUUCGGUCUGGUGGCGAGUGGCGAACGGGUGAGUAAUGAUCGGAACGUGCCUAGUAGCGGGGAUAACUACGCGAAAGUUGCAUAAUACCGCAUACGCCCUUCGGGGGAAAGCGGGGACCUUCGGGCCUCGCACUAUUAGAGCGGCCGAUAUCGGAUUAGCUAUUGGUGGGCAACGCUCACUCAAGGCGACGAUCCGUAGCUGGUUUGAGAGGACGACCAGCCACACUGGGACUGAGAUACGGCCCAGACUCCUACGGAGGCAGUGGGGAAUUUUGACAAUGGGGGAAACCCUGAUCCAGCCAUCCCGCGUGUGCGAUGAAGGCCUUCGGGUUGUGUGCCAAUUUUUGGCGCAGGAAAGAAACGGCACGGGAUAAUACCCCGUGCAACUGACGGCACUGCAGAAUAAGCACCGGCUAACUACGUGCCAGCAGCUCGCGCGUAUUACGUAGGUGCAAGCGUUAAUCGGAAUUACUGGGCGUAAAGCGUGCGCAGGCGGUUCGAAAGAAAGAUGUGGAAUCCCAGAGCUUAACUUUGGAACUGCAUUUUUAAUCACCGAGCUAGAGUGUGUCAGAGGGAGGUGGAAUUCCGCGUGUAGCAGUGAAUGCGUAGAUAUGCGGAGCAACAACGAUACAGCGGCAGCCCUGGGAUAACACUGACGCUCAUAACGAAAGCGUGGGGAGCAAACAGGAUUAGAUACCGGUAGUCCACGCCCUAAACGAUGUCAACUAGCUGUUGGGGCCUUUCGCCUUGGUAGCGCAACUAACGCGUGAAGUUGACCGCCUGGGGAGUACGGUCGCAAGAUUAAAAACUCAAAGGAAUUGACGGGGACCCGCACAAGCGGUGGAUGAUAAAGACCGACUCGAUGCAACGCGAAAAACCUUACCUACUCCUUGACAUGUCUGGAAUUCCGAAGAGAUUUGGAGUGCUCGCAAGAGAACUGAACACAGGUGCUGCAUGGCUGUCGUCAGCUCGUGUCGGCAGAUGCUGCUGUCCCGCAACGAGCGCAACCCUUGUCAUUAGUUGCUACGAAAGCGGCACUCUAAUGAGACUGCCGGUGACAAACCGGAGGAAGGUGGGGAUGAUUGUCCUCAUGGCCCUUAUGGGUAGGGCUUCACGCCGCCAGCCUGCUGGGACAGAGGGUCGCCAACCCGCGAGGGGGAGCCAAUCCCAGAAACCCGAUCGUAGUCCGGAUCGCAGUCUGCAACUCGACUGCGUGAAGUCGGAAUCGCUGCUAGUAAUCGCGGAUCAGCAUGUCGCGGUGAAUACGUUCCGGUCUUGUACACACCGCCCGUCACACCAUGGGAGUGGGUCAACCCAGAAGUAGUUAGCCUAACCGUAAGGAGGGCGAUUACCACGGUAGGAUUCAGACUGGGUGAAGUCGUAACAAGGUAA
rnacentral:rRNA from 1 species